GCCCCUGCUAGCCCUGACAUUUCAGGAUUCCAUGAAUGAAUGAUGGGAAUGAAUGGAUGGGUGGAUGAUCAAACUGCUAUGGUUCCCGUCUCUGGAUGAAUAAUGUGGAAGUACAGAGAGAGGGAAUGAAUCCAUGAAGCACGGAGUGGCUUGGAAUGUGGGGGAGUUCUGGAACUUGGCAACAGAAGGGCCGGGAGGAGGCUGCUAGCAAUGGCUACGGGGAUGAGAAGGGAUGGAGAAGGGGUCACACUUGAAGUUAAGCACUUGAACCUAAGCACCAGAACCCAGUUCCAGGAUUUCCUCCACCUACUGAGCACCCUGCUGAUAUAUCAAGGGGAUAGGACAAUAAGAUUUACUCCUGGCUCCUAGACAACAUCAGCGUAUUUUCAUAGUGGUCCCAAGCUCCCCAGGGUGAUCAGAAGACCAGGCCUCCCAUCAGCCAGCCAGUGGAGGCUAUUUGGAAGCCCCUCAGCUCAACUGAGAGAGCCAGAGGCCCCUCCAGGCUGCCAGGAUCCAAGGAAGGCAGGAUGAAUCUCCCGCACAGUGGGAAGCAACCUCAGAUUGGGAAGAGUUCCUCCCAAAGUCAACUCAAUAAAACAAAGAAGUCUUAUGGAUAGGUGAUUGAGUACAUAUUGAGUGCCUUCUGUAUGCACUACAUUGGUCUUUCCCUAAUAUUCUUUCUGAUCUUGAGCAAAUCACUUGGUCCUUUGGUAGCUCAUUGUUGUCAUCUCUGAAAUGGCUAAUACUAGCAGUGAGGAGUAAAUUAUAAGAUGCAGGUGAAAAAAAGAAACUUUAUAAGGCACUCUUACUUGCAAUUGUAACACCACAUACACACACACACACACACACACACACACACACACGCAUCCCUCUGAUUGAGUUGGUCAUUUUGGAUCUCUA
rnacentral:lncRNA from 1 species